UGAAAAUAUUACAAUAUAAGGUACUUUAUAAAAACAAAGUAAUAUUGUAAUAUUUUCUUCGUGUAGAAUUGUUUUUUUUUAUCAACCCCCAUUUUGAAACUCACAAGAAGGCACGCGCUUUUCAUUUCAUCUUCUUCGUUUGGCGUCUGCAUUCACCAGCUACAAAUCUAAUUGUGUGAAAACCAAGAUAAUAUUCUACUUUGUCGGGCGUUUACCAGCAAUAACUGCUACAUAUACAUAAAUUUACAUCAGCAAGACCAGGCAUAAUUAAAAAUUCCAAGAAAAUUACAAAAAUCGGCUUAACAUUUGGAAAACUACAAAUUUAAACAAUCAUCGGCUAGACAUCUGAAAACCAGCUUCUACAAUCAUCAGCCAAACCAAACUAAUUUAUAUUUUAAGCAGAUAAAAACUGUUCCAAGAAAUAGUAAAAUUUUGACAAUCAUCGGCUACAUCUGAAAACCUACCAGCUAAUACAAUCAUCAGCCAGACCAAACUUUAUUAUAUUUUAAACAGAUAAAAAUAGUUCAACAGACAUCUGAAUACUACCAGCUACUACAAUCAUCGGCUACAUCUGAAAACCAACCAGCUACUACAAUCAUCAGCCAGACCAAACUAAAUUAUAUUUUAAACAUAUAAAAAUAGUGAGUAACACCUUUUUAAUAGAUAUACUAAAAUAAACUAUAUAUCACUAGAACUAGCCAUAAUUAAAUUUUAUAAAAAAAAGUAUUAUCCUUUUAUUUCGUGUUGGUAUCGUUUUAAAGCAAAAUUUAAAGUGAUAGAUCUGACUUUGUAUAGCUUGUUGUAAAACAUACAGAUAGAUAUAGGUAAUCAAACUAACAUUAAUUCUUCUUUUUAAAAGAUUCCAAAA